GUGAGGAAUAUUGGACAAUGGGCGCAAGCCUGAUCCAGCCAUGCCGCGUGCAGGAAGACGCAUCUAUGGUGUGUAAACUGCUUUUGUACGGGAAGAAACACUCCCUCGUGAGGGAGCUUGACGGUACCGUAAGAAUAAGGAUCGGCUAACUCCGUGCCAGCAGCCGCGGUAAUACGGAGGAUCCAAGCGUUAUCCGGAAUCAUUGGGUUUGAAGGGUCCGUAGGCGGUUUAAUAAGUCAGUGGUGAAAGCCCAUCGCUCAACGAUGGAACGGCCAUUGAUACUGUUAGACUUGAAUUACAAGGAAGUAACUAGAAUAUGUAGUGUAGCGGUGAAAUGCUUAGAUAUUACAUGGAAUACCAAUUGCGAAGGCAGGUUACUACUUGUGGAUUGACGCUGAUGGACGAAAGCGUGGGGAGCGAACAGGAUUAGAUACCCGGGUAGUCC
rnacentral:rRNA from 1 species